GAUGAACGCUGGCGGCGUGCCUAAUACAUGCAAGUCGAGCGAACAGAUGAGGAGCUUGCUCCUCUGACGUUAGCGGCGGACGGGUGAGUAACACGUGGAUAACCUACCUAUAAGACUGGGAUAACUUCGGGAAACCGGAGCUAAUACCGGAUAAUAUAUUGAACCGCAUGGUUCAAUAGUGAAAGACGGUUUUGCUGUCACUUAUAGAUGGAUCCGCGCCGCAUUAGCUAGUUGGUAAGGUCACGGCUUACCAAGGCAACGAUGCGUAGCCGACCUGAGAGGGUGAUCGGCCACACUGGAAGUGAGACGCGGUCCAGGCUCCUACGGGAGGCAGCAGUAGGGAAUCUUCCGCAAUGGGCGAAAGCCUGACGGAGCAACGCCGCGUGAGUGAUGAAGGUCUUCGGAUCGUGAAGCUCUGUUAUUAGUGAAGAACAAAUGUGUAAGUAACUAUGCACGUCUUGACGGUACCUAAUCAGAAAGCCACGGCUAACUACGUG
rnacentral:rRNA from 1 species